rnacentral:rRNA from 1 species
GAUGAACGCUGGCGGCGUGCCUAAUACAUGCAAGUCGAGCGAACGGACGAGAAGCUUGCUUCUCUGAUGUUAGCGGCGGACGGGUGAGUAACACGUGGAUAACCUACCUAUAAGACUGGGAUAACUUCGGGAAACCGGAGCUAAUACCGGAUAAUAUUUUGAACCGCAUGGUUCAAAAGUGAAAGACGGUCUUGCUGUCACUUAUAGAUGGAUCCGCGCUGCAUUAGCUAGUUGGUAAGGUAACGGCUUACCAAGGCAACGAUGCAUAGCCGACCUGAGAGGGUGAUCGGCCACACUGGAACUGAGACACGGUCCAGACUCCUACGGGAGGCAGCAGUAGGGAAUCUUCCGCAAUGGGCGAAAGCCUGACGGAGCAACGCCGCGUGAUGGAUGAAGGUCUUCGGAUCGUAAAACUUUGUUAUUAGGGAAGAACAUAUGUGUAAGUAACUGUGCACAUCUUGACGGUACCUAAUCAGAAAGCCACGGCUAACUACGUG